GCGCAGCAGGCGCGAAACCUCUGCAAUGCGGGAAACCGUGACAGGGGGAUCCCAAGUGCUCAUGCAUUGCAUGGGCUGUUCUUUGGUCUAAGUAACCAGAGGAGUAAGGGCUGGGCAAGACCGGUGCCAGCCGCCGCGGUAAUACCGGCAGCUCGAGUGGUAGCCGCGAUUAUUGGGCCUAAAGCGUUCGUAGCCGGAUAAGUAAGUCUUUGGUUAAAUCCUGCGACUUAACCGUGGGAAAUCUAGAGAUACUGCUUGUCUUGAGACCGGGAGAGGUUGGAGGUACUCCUAGGGUAGGGGUGAAAUCCUGUAAUCCUAGGGGGACCACCUGUGGCGAAGGCGUCCAACUGGAACGGGUCUGACGGUGAGGGACGAAACCUAGGGGAGCGAGCCGGAUUAGAUACCCGGGUAGUCCUAGGCGUAAAUGAUGCGAGUUAAGUGUGGGGGCAUCUACGAGAUGGCCCUGUGCUGUAGGGUAGCCGUUAAACUCGCCGCCUGGGGAGUACGGUCGCAAGGCUGAAACUUAAAGGAAUUGGCGGGGGAGCACCACAAGAGGUGGAGGCUGCGGUUCAAUUGGAUUCAACGCCGGG
rnacentral:rRNA from 1 species